AUGUCUUCCUCCUUCUCUUCAAGCUCAAGGGCGGCAUCUUCAUCCCAGAGGCGCUUCGCUCCAGCUGGCCAAACCAGGUCGCCGGUGCGUUACAGGGUGGGUCCGCUGGACUACGAGCCUGCGACACCAUGUUGGUGCAAGAACAGGCCCAAGGCGGCCAUGUGGAUCUCGUGGAGCUAUGAGAACCCAGGGAGAAGAUACAAGACAUGUGCCCGGUCACAGAUGGGAGGAUGUGAAAUGUACGAGUGGUUCGACGAUCCCAUUGAGAAUCUGUUCCUCAAGCAGCUGGUCAUUGAUCUACGCGACAAGGUGCGUCAGCUAGAGAGGAUCAACUCAGAGUUACGAGCUGAAGCAACUUCGGUGCAGCAACGGCAAGCUGCGCAAAAAGCUGUUCAACCAGCUCCAGAAGAUAAUGUAGCAGUCAACCCAGGGAUCAGGGCUGUGAACGACGCUUUGACAGCUUCGAGGGCGUCGUUUGCCACUGAAGUUUGGUUCCCUUGCAUCCUCAUUAGUUCAUAUAUCAUCAAGCUGCUGUGCGAUGAUAGCGUGUCCUACACAAAUGCAGGUGUUUAG
rnacentral:rRNA from 1 species